GCAAAAAGCUCCGGGAGGUGGGGUAAUACCGCAUACGCCCUACGGGGGAAAGAUUUAUCGGGGAAGGAUGGGCCCGCGUUGGAUUAGCUAGUUGGUGGGGUAAAGGCCUACCAAGGCGACGAUCCAUAGCUGGUCUGAGAGGAUGAUCAGCCACAUUGGGACUGAGACACGGCCCAAACUCCUACGGGAGGCAGCAGUGGGGAAUAUUGGACAAUGGGCGCAAGCCUGAUCCAGCCAUGCCGCGUGAGUGAUGAAGGCCUUAGGGUUGUAAAGCUCUUUCACGGGAGAAGAUAAUGACGGUAUCCGGAGAAGAAGCCCCGGCUAACUUCGUGCCAGCAGCCGCGGUAAUACGAAGGGGGCUAGCGUUGUUCGGAAUUACUGGGCGUAAAGCGCACGUAGGCGGAUAUUUAAGUCAGGGGUGAAAUCCCAGAGCUCAACUCUGGAACUGCCUUUGAUACUGGGUAUCUUGAGUAUGGAAGAGGUAAGUGGAAUUCCGAGUGUAGAGGUGAAAUUCGUAGAUAUUCGGAGGACCACCAGUGGCGAAGGCGGCUUACUGUCCAUUACUGACGCUGAGGUGCGAAAGCGUGGGAGCAAACAGGAUUAGAUACCCUGUUAGUCCACGCCGUAAACGAUGAAUGUUAGCCGUCGGGCAGUAUACUGUUCGGUGGCGCAGCUAACGCAUUAAAAAUUCCGCCGAGGGAGUACGGUCGCAAGAUUAAAACUCAAAGGAAUUGACGGGGGCCCGCACAAGCGGUGGAGCAUGUGCUUA
rnacentral:rRNA from 1 species